rnacentral:rRNA from 1 species
CUUACCUAAACGUUGCUUCGGCGGGAAUAGACGGCCCUGUAAAACGGGCCGCCCCCGCCAGAGGACCCUUAACUCUGUUUCUUAUAAUGUUUCUUCUGAGUAAAACAAGCAAAUAAAUUAAAACUUUCAACAACGGAUCUCUUGGCUCUGGCAUCGAUGAAGAACGCAGCGAAAUGCGAUAAGUAAUGUGAAUUGCAGAAUUCAGUGAAUCAUCGAAUCUUUGAACGCACAUUGCGCCCGCCAGUAUUCUGGCGGGCAUGCCUGUUCGAGCGUCAUUACAACCCUCAGGCCCCCGGGCCUGGCGUUGGGGAUCGGCGGAGCGCCCCUCGUGGGCGCACGCCGUCCCCCAAAUACAGUGGCGGUCCCGCCGCAGCUUCCAUCGCGUAGUAGCUAACACCUCGCGACUGGAGAGCGGCGCGGCCACGCCGUAAAACACCCCAACUCUUCUGAAGUUGACCUCGAAUCAGGUAGGAAUACCCGCUGAACUUAAGCAUAUCAAUAAGCGGAGGA